rnacentral:rRNA from 1 species
UACGUAGGGUGCAAGCGUUAAUCGGAAUUACUGGGCGUAAAGCGUGCGCAGGCGGUUGUGCAAGACAGAUGUGAAAUCCCCGGGCUCAACCUGGGAAUUGCAUUUGUGACUGCACGGCUAGAGUGUGUCAGAGGGGGGUAGAAUUCCACGUGUAGCAGUGAAAUGCGUAGAGAUGUGGAGGGAAUCACCGAUGGCGAACGGCAGCCUCCUGGGCCAAUACUGACGCUCAUGCACGAAAGCGUGGGGAGCAAACAGG